GACAGCAGUCGCCGCGGUAAUACGUAGGUGGCGAGCGUUGUCCGGAAUUAUUGGGCGUAAAGGGAGCGCAGGCGGACAUAUAAGUCCAUCUUAAAAGUGCGGGGCUCAACCCCGUGAGGGGAUGGAAACUGUAUGCCUUGAGCGCAGGAGAGGAAAGCGGAAUUCCCAGUGUAGCGGUGAAAUGCGUAGAUAUUGGGAGGAACACCAGUGGCGAAGGCGGCUUUCUGGACUGUAACUGACGCUGAGGCUCGAAAGCCAGGGGAGCGAACGGGAUUAGAUACCCCUGUAGUCCCUGUCUCUUAUACA
rnacentral:rRNA from 1 species